CACAACAGAGUCUAUCCCAGCUUUGCAAAGUCCUAGUCAUCUAUUUUCCUAGGCAGGACACCUUCUCCAGGCUGGCAUGAGAAGUAUCCUGGUUUCUGCAUCCCUUCACUCACUGUCACCGUUGAUUCUUCAUGGGACAUUGUGUGAAGGAGAAAGGUCAUAAGUCACAUCAGGAAUGUACAAUGGACUUCAUGCAAGUCAAGAUAAUCAAGGAGUCUGAAUCUGUCUCCAAUGCUGACAUUGAUUUUGAAACAUUAAGACCAAUGAGAAAGAGAAAAUCUUGACAGAAAGCUCAUCUUCUAGAGGAAGUACUUGGAAUGAGUCUUUUCCUUGUGGACUUAAUCCGUUGUCCUUCAAUAUCAAGUGAGGCUUCCACAGACAAAUGAAAUGGCAGUGCGGCGCAUCUGUUUGCUAUGGAAAGAGCACGAAGUUGUGUGCUCGGGCUGAACACAACAAGAUCUUCUAUGAAAAGAUAACAGGCAGUCUACAGAGAGCAAGAUCUGUUCCACAACAGAGGAUCCUUAGAGUUGUAGUGUUUGCCAUGCUAUCUCAAGCCCUAACCACUUCAUUCUCUGUAAUUUGAUUAUUUGGUCAUGCCCUGGAAUGCAAAGUACAACUCUGAUGUAUUUGUAUAAGCCUAGGCUCUUCAAGUACAGUAAGUAGCUGAAUGAUGUAUGUUAAUGACAUGCUCUCAGUAAUUUUUAUAAUGCGAGAUCUCUGCCCAGAUUUAAUGUUUAAUAUCCCUGGGAUUCACAUUGAAAUUAUUACACACAUUAUGUAUUCCAUUCCUUGGACUUAGAAUUAAUUUCAAAACAGAGCAAAAGUGCAUCCUAUUUGUUUUCUUGAGGGACUUUGCAUCAGUAACAGUCUAUUUAUUCUGGAGUUUCUGAAGUUAGAAAUACCUUUUCCCUUUGCUAUCUUUGAUCUAUCCUGACGAACUGUGCAGAACAUUUCAUUUCUUUGUCUCAUCUCAGUUAUGCCAUUUCCUCAUUCACUUGAAAAAUAUUUAUUCUAGCAAAAUUUACCUCCUUGAGUAAACGACACAGGUUGUUAGAAAACAGUUUCACAGAAUCUUUGACAUAAAGCUGUCUGUAAAAAAUAAACAAACAAACAAACAAAC